UACAGAGGUCUCAAGCGUUGUUCGGAUUCAUUGGGCGUAAAGGGUGCGUAGGCGGCGCGGUAAGUCGGGUGUGAAAUCUUGGAGCUUAACUCCGAAACUGCAUUCGAUACUGCCGUGCUUGAGGACUGGAGAGGAGAGUGGAAUUCCCGGUGUAGCAGUGAAAUGCGUAGAGAUCGGGAGGAACAUCAGUUGCGAAGGCGGCUCUCUGGACCAGCACUGACACUGAGGCACGAAAAGCGUGGGGAGCAAACAGG
rnacentral:rRNA from 1 species